GACGAACGCUGGCGGCGUGCUUAACACAUGCAAGUCGAACGAAGUGGCGAACGGGUGAGUAAUACGUGGGUAACCUGCCCUCCUUUUUGGGAUAAGCCUUGGAAACGGGGUCUAAUACCGAAUAGAGGGGGAUGGGCUCGCGGCCUAUCAGCUUGUUGGUGGGGUGAUGGCCUACCAAGGCGGUGACGGGUAGCCGGCCUGAGAGGGUGACGGGCCACAUGUGGACUGAGCCACUGCCCAGACUCCGACGGGAGGCAGCAGUGGGGAAUAUUGCACAAUGGGCGGAAGCCUGAUGCAGCGACGCCGCGUGGGGGAUGACGGCCUUCGGGUUGUAAACUCCUUUCACCAUCGACGCGGUAGAUGGAGAAGAAGCACCGGCUAACUACGUGCCAGCAGCCGCGGUAAUAC
rnacentral:rRNA from 1 species